GAAAAAUACUCUGUUGCUGGGACUGCGCUUACCUGCCCUCCCACAUGAUGAAGCAAAUGUCUCCAUGCCAGCCCUGCAGUUUGCUCUGGGGUCCUUGGAGAAGGUUCAGCGCCGCUGUUCACAAGGCUCCUCUGUCCAUG